rnacentral:rRNA from 1 species
GCUGCGUGGCGGCGAGCUAUACAUGCAAGUAGAACGCUGAAGGAGGAGCUUGCUUCUCUGGAUGAGUUGCGAACGGGUGAGUAACGCGUAGGUAACCUGCCUGGUAGCGGGGGAUAACUAUUGGAAACGAUAGCUAAUACCGCAUAAGAGUGGAUGUUGCAUGACAUUUGCUUAAAAGGUGCACUUGCAUCACUACCAGAUGGACCUGCGUUGUAUUAGCUAGUUGGUGGGGUAAGGGCUCACCAAGGCGACGAUACAUAGCCGACCUGAGAGGGUGAUCGGCCACACUGGGACUGAGACACGGCCCAGACUCCUACGGGAGGCAGCAGUAGGGAAUCUUCGGCAAUGGACGGAAGUCUGACCGAGCAACGCCGCGUGAGUGAAGAAGGUUUUCGGAUCGUAAAGCUCUGUUGUAAGAGAAGAACGAGUGUGAGAGUGGAAAGUUCACACUGUGACGGUAUCUUACCAGAAAGGGACGGCUAACUACGUGCCAGCAGCCGCGGUAAUACGUAGGUCCCGAGCGUUGUCCGGAUUUAUUGGGCGUAAAGCGAGCGCAGGCGGUUAGAUAAGUCUGAAGUUAAAGGCUGUGGCUUAACCAUAGUAGGCUUUGGAAACUGUUUAACUUGAGUGCAAGAGGGGAGAGUGGAAUUCCAUGUGUAGCGGUGAAAUGCGUAGAUAUAUGGAGGAACACCGGUGGCGAAAGCGGCUCUCUGGCUUGUAACUGACGCUGAGGCUCGAAAGCGUGGGGAGCAAACAGGAUUAGAUACUC